CUUCCUUUCUUUCAUCUUCUCUCUUCCUUCUCUACACCCACACACGCACACAUGACCGAGAGAGAGAGAGAGAGAACGAGACUGAAUGAGAGAGAGAGCUGUUGCUGUCCGAAGAAGAAGAAGAAGAAGAAGAAGGUGAUGAAACACAAUGGGAUUCUAGCCAUGGGGUUAGUGAGGCAUGUAAUGUGAUAUUGGAGGCUUAGGACUGGAUCUAGUCUUCCAAUGUGUGGUAUGAGUAAUCGGAUCGAUGGAGCACUUCGAAAGGAUUACUUGAGUCGUGAGUCAUUUGUAGGCUACAAGACGAUGUUGUAGAUGCAGGUACAGAGACAGUAGAUGAGGAUCCUGUAGCCUUGUAUUUGGGCGAUGUCGGAGGUCUAGAUGCGUUGGAGGUUUACUUUGUUGGACUAGUUGUUAGUCCUCUUUGGUAGAGCAUUCGAGGAUAUGCUUAGAUGUUGGCAUUCGGUAUAUGGCUCGUGUCGCAUGUAACACUUUUGUAUAGCCAUUAUUUUGUAUGUAAAACUUUAUUCACAUAGAUGUAUUAGUUAGCUCUAAUGUGUUAUGUAGGUCUAAUGUUAUUUAUAUUCCGCUGUAAAGAUAUGAACUCUAAUGGAUCAUUGAUGAUGUA